CUUGUCACACUUCAGUGUGCAAAUUCUCCUGCACACGACACUACAGUACCGUAUUAUAAAACCGAAGCGGAUACUCGAUUCUCAUAUCAGUUGUAGUUAUCGAGAAAGUACGCAAGUAUUAAAAGUGAAGUGUGAUUACAAUUAUUUCUAGUGAAAAUGGAUUGUUGUAAGAAAGGAGAAUCCCGCACCAUUGUCAAACAAUGCAAACUGACAAAGAAAGAUGGUACUGUAGUAGACUGCGAGUGUACCUGCACAUGCAAAUGUGAAAAUGACUGCAAAGGUUCAGCCUGUCCUGGAAAAAAUGGAUGCAAUUGUGACUGUACUGAAGAAACAGCCAAGUUAGGACCUGAUGGCAAAUACCGAUGCGUUUGCGAAUGUACAUGUUAAUUAUUUUAAUGUUAAUUUUGAAUUCAUAUCUACUUUGUAGUUUGUAGUAAGGCGUUUUAUAAAGACUGUAUUUUAUUUAUA
rnacentral:lncRNA from 1 species